UACGUAGGGGGCAAGCGUUGUCCGGAUUUAUUGGGCGUAAAGAGCGUGUAGGCGGCUUUGCAAGUCCGUUGUGAAAACUCGAGGCUCAACCUCGAGACGCCGGUGGAAACUGCAAAGCUAGAGUGCGGGAGAGGAGAGUGGAAUUCCUGGUGUAGCGGUGAAAUGCGCAGAUAUCAGGAAGAACACCCGUGGCGAAGGCGGCUCUCUGGAACGCAACUGACGCUGAGACGCGAAAGCGUGGGGAGCAAACAGG
rnacentral:rRNA from 1 species